CUCAGCGACCACGCCUCCAAGUCAAUAUAUAACACUUCUACUUUUCACUUCAAUGAAUGAACUCAUCCCAGGUACAAGAAUACAUUUUAUUGAGGAGCGUACAACAAUUCUGAAAUGACGUUACAUCUAGUAGCACUGACAUAACAUUUAGUAGCACACACACACACACAAAACAUCUGAAGAUUCAAAUAUUUCAAUCAAGAAAAAAAAAAGGUGAAAGACUUUUCUAAUUUAUAACACUUAAAACAACACCAACUAAAGACUAUUACAUUUUAAGUUGAAUUCAAACAUGAAAGAUACAAUCUGGCUUAGUUUAGAACAUCAUGUGGAAAGUGGUGUUACAUCACCAACAAGUGACAGGACUUGGUUUGUUUUUUUUAAAAUAUGAUUCCAUUAAAAAAAAACAAUAUACAACCUAUGGUACUUCAACUCCACAUGCUUUAUCUUGCUGCUCAUAAAUGAAAAGUAGCCCCCGCCCCCCCCCCCCCCCCA